rnacentral:rRNA from 1 species
AUUGAACGCUGGCGGAAUGCUUUACACAUGCAUGUCGAACGGUAGAGGGGGCAACCCCUCGAGAGUGGCGAACGGGUGAGUAAUAUAUCGGAACGUGCCCAGUCGUGGGGGAUAACGUAGCGAAAGUUACGCUAAUACCGCAUACGAUCUAAGGAUGAAAGCGGGGGAUCGCAAGACCUCGCGCGAUUGGAGCGGCCGAUAUCAUAUUAGGUAGUUGGUGGGGCAAAGGCUCACCAAGCCAACGAUCUGUAGCUGGUCUGAGAGGACGACCAGCCACACUGGAACUGAGACACGGUCCAGACUCCUACGGGAGGCAGCAGUGGGGAAUUCUGGACAAUGGACGCAAGUCUGAUCCAGCCAUUCCGCGUGCAGGAUGAAGGCCCUCGGGUUGUAAACUGCUUUUGUACGGAACGAAAAGGUCUCUCUUAAUACGGGGGGCUCAUGACGGUACCGUAAGAAUAAGCACCGGCUAACUACGUGCCAGCCGCCGCAGUAA